rnacentral:lncRNA from 1 species
UAACAUUUUCCACACGAGGCCAACCCUAUCAUCUCUCAUUUUUUUCCAUCCUGCAGCUACUGCUGCCGUCGCAGCCAUAGAUCUGACGUACGCAGCAUGACAAUGCAAAGCUGCCCAACUUAGCAUUUAAUAUUAUUUACAUUUCGUAUAUUUGAUUUUGGCAUUCGAAAAUCAGAUACAGGUAUUCAAUGUUUUCCUUUGAAAUUUGUUGUUUGUUUUGUUGUGAUGAAACCAGUAGGUUCUUUAUCCUUUCAAUUUGUAGUUGUACUUGGAGUAUCAAAAUUCGAAAACUUGACUUGAAACAAAAAGGGCUUCUAUUAAUUCUUCUAUUGGUAUUAUUCUGACUUUUCAAGCAAUAUUUCUUUUGCCAGCAGUUCUUUUUUUUUCCCUACCAGUAUUGAUUUUUCUAUCACGUUAUUGUUUUUACUUUUUCAAGCAUGUGAUGCAUGAUAAUUCUUGGCUUUGCUCACAAGUAAGAUCUUUCCAGUAGCCAAAGAUCCUUCUUGCAUUCAUUAAGUGCUGUUAUAGUGCAUAAUCAGAGGCAACAGAGAAUCCCUAUAGAUUAGGUAAAUAGAACCAUGAUCACUCCAGAAUAGAAUCAGCUGUAAAUAAUUAUAGAUGUAUUUGCAAUUCUUAUUGCUAUUUGUAUCUGACAAUAGAUUGGAAAAAAUAAUUACGAUAGUAUAUAUAAUUAUACCAUCCUAGAUCAUGCAGUCUAUUUUUAGCAAAAGGGAAGAUAUUUUUUUUUUCUCUAAGCUUAUCCAUUGUUUUUGUAAUAGGACGGGCACUUGUAUCAGUUGUGACGAGUGGAAGUAAAAGAUUGUUUUGUGUAACUGAUAGUGCUCCUCAUGUGAGAAGAAAAAUGGAGUGCUCUUGCGGAUGUGCUGGUAUUUCUAAUGUACCCAUAGCCUUUUCAGUUAAAGCAAAGAUUUUUGAAGAGGUAAUUUCUCUGGAAAUCUCCUUUUCCUAAUAUUGCAGAACUAUUGGAGUGAUUAGCAGGAUUCUAGUGUUGAUGUUAAAUUAUAGCAACAGAUCUUUCAAGUACUUUGUGCUAGUUUUGUGUUGUAGACAAUGUGAACCUGUUUUAUGUAAUGAUGUCACAGUGUAAAUAGUAUUGCUAGCUUGUUAAACACUUUCUUAAGCUGGCU